AGCGAACGCUGGCGGCAGGCCUAAUACAUGCAAGUCGAGCGCACCUUCGGGUGAGCGGCGGACGGGUGAGUAACGCGUGGGAAUGUGCCCUUUGGUACGGAACAACACAGGGAAACUUGUGCUAAUACCGUAUGUGCCCUUCGGGGAAGGAUUAUUGCCAUUGGAGCAGCCCGCGUUGGAUUAGCUAGUUGGUGAGGUAAAGGCCCACCAAGGCUACGAUCCAUAGCUGGCUGAGAGGAUGAUCAGCCACACUGGGACUGAGACACGGCCCAGACUCCUACGGGAGGCAGCAGUAGGGAAUCUUGGACAAUGGGCGCAAGCCUGAUCCAGCCAUGCCGCGUGAGUGAUGAAGGCCCUAGGGUUGUAAAGCUCUUUUACCCGGGAAGAUAAUGACUGUACCGGGAGAAUAAG
rnacentral:rRNA from 1 species